AUGUUCUUCUCUUUCCCCGUCUCGCUCGAUCCCCGACCGCGACCUCGGAACGAACUCUCUUCGUAUAUUUCUGUGAAAGCAGGAGUGUUGUUCAUUAGAUUUAUAUUUUCCAGACUUUAUCCAGACGUUUCUCCCAACAAUGGCUCAGAAGAAAGUUCACAUUGAAUACUGUGGUUCCUGAGGGUACUAUCCCCGCUACCGGGAACUGCAAGAGAUGAUUGAGUCUGCAGUCAAAGGAGCGGAUGUUGAUGGCAAGCAAGGCAGACCUAGUUCAUUCGAGGUUACAUUGAAUGGGCAGGUCUUGUUUUCCAAGCUGAAAACUGGAGGAUUCCCAGACCUUGAUGCGAUUGUUGAGGCGAUCAAAGAUUACAAGGGUGAAGGCACAGUGACUCCAGUGGAGAAGACUGCAUCAAUGUGUAUCAUCUUAUAAAGAGAAUGGACAACCAUCAUCCAGGUUUACUUCACAAAAUGGAUAGUCCUCAUUUCUCCACAACUUAUCAGAAUGAAUCAUUCAUGCCCAAACAUGGAAAACCCUUAACUCCUUUGAAUGCAGUGUUAUAAGAAAGAUAUCCAGUCUCUCUUGAAUACCAGUAUUUAAUUUCAGAAGUGAGUUAUGUCCAACUUCUAAUAUAUUUUCUAAGAUGUAAUGCUGUAUUAUUUACUGUAGCGCAAUUUGGUAAGUUUUACAUCUGUACAGAGAACCUCCUGUCUAUGAUGAUCUUUAUAAUUAAUAUUUAAUAUUGUUGAGUUUAACAGCAAUGAAAAUGACUAGAAUUGCACCAAGGAUAUAAUCUGAAUUACAUUGUGUGCUCUGUUAAAGAAUAUUCAGUUUAAACACAUGCAUCCCUAAUAAUGUAGACUGAAAAUGAUUGUAUUUACAAUUUCAAUGCCUUUUCCAUUUUGUCAACUAAACCUGCAUUUUGUAUUUCAAAUCUCUAAACUACUUGAAAUCAUACUUGCCCCUAUGCAUUACCCACUUGUGGCCCAAUUAAUGACAAGUUGGAUUGAAAGGGGAGGAACUACCUCCCCCUAUCCAUACUUUGAUGAAAUAUUUGGGCCUGUUGGUAAAGCUGGGAGUGAUAGAUUUCUUCUAGUAUUCAUUAUUUCAAGAAUCAAUUAACGUUCUAUGGUGUACAUUGUUAAAUUUACUAGGGUUCACAUUUAUGAAAUAUUUGUCUUCUGAUGUUUUUGAAUGACCAUAUG